AGGAAUUCAAUCUAUGGAUAACCUACACUUGCUUACCCUGCUCUUUCCAGCAGAAAAAUGAAAGUUCAACCGAAGUUUAGACAACACCUAAUUAUCUAUAGGGGCAUUUCAACAUUUCAAAUAUUUAAGGAAAAGAUGCCCAUUAAACAAAUUCAGCAUACAAUCUAUAAUGACAAAAGUAUACGAGACAAAUUAUCCGUGUCAAAGUGCGAAUUUCUUAAUACGAUGAGCUGACAGGAAAUGGUCCAGAUAUAAUUAUGAUGGUCAGAAUUUGUAAUCUUCCCAAAAAGUGCAGACAAAGCAAAUUGUGACUUGUGAGAGCAGCUCAUCACAGGCCAUUAGAUAAAUGAUGCGAGCCUGAAAUGAUGCGGACAUCAUCCUCAUCGGGCCACUUGUUGGGCCAUUUUAUCUUCUAUGUACUUAUUUUAGGUUUUAUGUUUUAUUGGGCUUGUAUAUGGGUUUGGCCCAAGCCCAAGUUUAUUAAUUUGGUAUUUAUAUUAUUGUAAUUGGAUUGAAAUGGCAGUUUUGAUGAAAUGAAAUAGAUGUGGUGAUAUCGUUUCUCUCCUCUCCUCCCUUCCUCCUUCAGUUUGUUCUUCCUCUUCUUCUUUUCUCCUUGGCCAAUUCUACAUCAAUUUGGUAUCAGAGCCAAACCUGGGUGCUGGUUAACUACAUCAACCUCUUACCAUCAGUUUUGUGAGUCAGUAAGCUGUUCAUUAACUUAAAGCUUGUCCCGAAAUUUUAUCCUGUCAUCUUCACAAAUUGACCACCAUCUGCAGUCGUAUAGUCUCACCCAAAACCUGUUUUCCUUCAAUUUCAUAUUUGGAAGAGGUCUGAAAUUUUGAUACAAAAUGAUUUUUAGACAGCUACUUCAAAUCCCCGAUUGCACCACCAUCUUCCAUUACAACCCACUAUCCACACCUCAAGCCCAAUGAUAGUAACCGCCAAUAACCUCAUAGUAACUGUCAGAUCCCAAUACAACACAAAAUACACCAUCCCAGCAACCUAAAACCACCCACGAUCAUUAAAUUCACCAACCCAUUACAAACUAUACAUCAAUCUCCUGCAACCUCUAAUUAUCCAAUACCUUUCAGUAAGCCACAGAUAAAUCAUCUCCUCUGCUCUAAUCUCGCGAACUCUACUCCAGAACCUACUUCGGCUACCACCGGCAACCCUCAAAUUGCCGGCAUCCCACACAAUCGGUCCAACUCUAUUACAGAUUCCACAAAAUCGAUAACCAAACCAACACUUGUCACUCGUCACAAACCUGGCCGCCAGUCACUGCUCACAGCGUCGGCUCACCAGAAUCACUGCAGACCGUAAUUGUACAGUUGCGAAUUCCAGUUUCCUCGCGACUGCUACUCCAAAUCGAGACCCACGUAGCUCCAUCCACAAAGAAUCCACACUGUAGCCACGCCGACGACGGAUGAUACCCGCUUCAGGUUCCGUCACCUUCUGUAUCGAGCAACUCGCGUCGCCCGAAGCUUCCACCUCGCGAUCAUUGCCCCCAAAUGCAGAUUUUGUUUGGGCUGUAGUCGAUAGUCCUUGCUUUUAUUUUAAUUCUUAUGUCUUGGGCUCAAUUGUUAUGUAUAUAGUAGACUAAUCGAUAGUUCAAGGCCUCUUGUUAGUGUUUAGGCCUUGCUUUGUAUACUUUUGCUUAUUUAAUUUUGUAAGUGAAAAAAAAAAGAAAGAAAAGAAAAGAAAAGACAGAAAAGCGUUAUUAAAAAAAAAAAAGAGUUAUUUUUCAAACAUCUUUUCAGGCUUCUUCAAACAAACGAAAGGAAAGUCCUUAUUUUAAUUCAUCCUCAGUUAUAUUGCUAUUUAUCUUGAAUUGCAUCGAUUAACUUUUGUGCUGCAAUCUUUAUAUAAAAAACAUUCACGUGAUUAAACUCUUAGACUUACUAACUUUCAAUUUUGCUAUAUUUUCACUCUUUCCAUAUUUAUUUUAACCGCUUCCGCCAUAUUUAUUUUACAUGUUUAAGUUGUUGACUAGUGUUUGACCCUCGCUUCAUUAUUUUACAUAGAUCAACAGUAUCAACUUGACAUAUUUGAAUUUUCAUAAUCCCAAAAAAAGAAAAAAAAAGGAUGCUGAAGUUGUUAUUUUCCAUUUCUUGAGCUAGUUGUUUGUUGAUCUCGUCAUUUACUGCAUUCAGUUAGUGUUACAUUGCAUGCAUUUGCGUAGUGGUCGUUUUGUCAUACCAAAUUCCAAUACUGUGAUCAUGGACCCUUCUCAAUUUGAUGCCCUUACUCGACAAUUAGCUCAACUACAGGCUCAAUUAGCAACCGUCCAAACCGAGGUAACUGCUACUCGUGAAGAGAGUAGAGAACUAGCUGCUAGGGUGAACAAUUUAGAACAAAACUCCCCCUCAAUCGACGGUGAUAACUCUGAAGCGUCUCAUAACAUACCUUAUCGUUAUCAACAUGGAGGUCGACAGCAUGUUCGUCAUGGGCGAAGGAAUGGGGAACAUGAACGCAAUCAUGAGCGAGACCAUGCUCAUUAUGGUACUCAUUCACCACCUCGCUAUGAGGAGCGUUACUUUCGAAACAUCAAAUUAGACGCUCCUACUUUCGAUGGUUGUUUAGAUCCUAGAGUUUUUACACAAUGGAUUAGAGACAUGGAUCGUUUCUUUUCAUGGUAUGGAGUCCCAGAGGAUCGAAGAGUUCAAUUUGCCAGUUUGAAAUUAACUGGUACUGCCCAACUCUUUUGGGAAAGCGUUGAGGACCUUCUUGAGAGGCGUCAUGCACCUCCCGUUGGAAGUUGGGAGGAAAUGAAGCGCCGCCUUCAAGAGAAGUAUUUGCCCCACUCUUAUAGGAGCAACUUGUUGGACCAGUGGAAUACUCUCACACAAGGAAAUCGUCCAGUAACUGACUAUGUUACCCAAUUUGAUGAGCUCCGAAUGCGAAGCCACAUCGUCGAGGAUGAAGCUAUGACUUUAAGUAGGUUCAGACAGGGCCUAAGAGACGAUCUUCGGCGUGAGCUUGUCCUGCGAGGUGUCACCACUCUCGAUCACGCUUAUUCCUUGGUUCGAGAUUACGAGUCGAUUACUAAGACUUCGUAUGGAAGGCGUAGUGAUAACCGUCCAUCUAUCUCAUCGGCACCUCCUCCUCNNNNNNNNNNNNNNNNNNNNNNNNNNNNNNNNNNNNNNNNNNNNNNNNNNNNNNNNNNNNNNNNNNNAUUUUUUAAAUGAAAAAAAAAAGAAAGAAAAGAAAAGAAAAGACAGAAAAGCGUUAUUAAAAAAAAAAAAGAGUUAUUUUUCAAACAUCUUUUCAGGUACCUCAUUCAUUCAAGUUGAUUGGACGCGACUUCUUCAAACGAACGAAAGAAAAGUCCUUAUUUUAAUUCAUCCUCAGUUAUAUUGCUGUUUAUCUUGAAUUGCAUCGAUUAACUUUUGUACUGCAAUCUUUAUAUAAAAACAUUCAUGUGAUUAAACUCUUAGACCUACUAACUCUCAGUUUUGCUAUAUUUUCACUCUUUCCAUAUUUAUUUUAACCGCUUCCGCCAUAUUUAUUUUACAUGUUUAAGUUGUUGACUAGUGUUUGACCCUCGCUUCAUUAUUUUACAUAGAUCAGCAGUAUCAACUUGACAUAUUUGAAUUUCAUAAUCCAAAAAAAAAAAAAAAAAAAAAAAAAAAAAAAAAAAAAACAUUAAAUUCAACGUGGCGUUUGUGCAAAUCGACUCGAAGUUUAAAUAGUGCAUUACUUGCUUCCAACUGUUUAUUGAUCUCAAUAUGCAAAUCACGCAAAUGUUGUGCAAAAGACUCAGCUGACACAGACACACUAGCAUGUGGAGACAUGGGAAUAAGGUCUAAUGGCUUCCUAGGCUUAAAACCAUGAACAACUUCAAAAGGACUCAUACCUAUAGACCGAUUCACUGAACUGUUAUAUGCAAGUUGGGCAGUAGGAAGAAUUAAGUCCCAAUUCCUAAGAUUUUCUUGGACUAGACACCUUAAUAGAUUACCAGGAUUGCGGUUAACAACUUCAGUUUGACCAUCCGUUUGUGGGUGGUAUGUAGUAGAAAAUUUCAGUUUAGUGCCAACCAUACUCCAUAGGGUUCGCCAAAGAUGACUAGUGAAAUGAACAUCUCUAUCCGAGAUAAUGGUCUUAGGGAGACCAUAUAGCCUGACGAUCUUAUGAUAGUAUAAUUUAGCAACCUUAGAUGCAUCGGAUGUUUUGUUACAGGGAAUAAAGUGUACCAUCUUCGAGAAGCAAUCGACUACAACGAAAAUGGAGUCGUGUUUCUUUGGAGUACGUGGCAACCCUAGCACGAAAUCCAUACUAACGUCUUGCCAAGGACAACUAGGGACGGGGAGAGGAGUGUGGUUGGUAAUGCCUUUUGGACUAACCAAUGCUCCAAGUACCCCCUACUGAAGCCCAAUCCCUCCUUCAAGAAUUUAAGGAUGUAUUUCCUGAGGACCUCCCUGAUUUAUUGCCUCCCUUACGGGAUAUCCAACAUGCUAUAGAUCUGGUUCCAGGUUCGUCUCUCCCAAAUUUGCCUCACUAUAGAAUGAGAGUUCACCCACUUGUCUCUGGAGCUCGGCAUGUUCAGUAGGGUUCAUUCUAUAGUGAGGCAAAUUUGGGAGAGACGAACCUGGAACCAGAUCUAUAGCAUGUUGGAUAUCCCGUAAGGGAGGCAAUAAAUCAGGGAGGUCCUCAGGAAAUACAUCCUUAAAUUCUUGAAGGAGGGAUUGGGCUUCAGUAGGGGUUGCUAGUGGGGAAUCGGACGGGACUUCCAUAACAAACACAGCAAAUACGAUUGAGUCAUUUACGAUUGUCCGUUCAAACUCUGUAGGGCUAAUCACAUGUAAUCCUUUCCUCUCGCCAACCUUUUUGGUUUAGUGUAAGAUCAUAUAUGGUGUGACGUCAUCCCUAUGGAUGUCGGGCAUGUCAUUCUUGGUCGACCUUGGUUGUUCGAUCUACCUCCUCGACGGGGUCGAGUUUUUCUCCCACCCCGGGAGAGUUGAUGCGGACAUCAUCCUCAUCGGGCCACUUGUUGGGCCAUUUUAUCUUCUAUGUACUUAUUUUAGGUUUUAUGUUUUAUUGGGCUUGUAUAUGGGUUUGGCCCAAGCCCAAGUUUAUUAAUUUGGUAUUUAUAUUAUUGUAAUUGGAUUGAAAUGGCAGUUUUGAUGAAAUGAAAUAGAUGUGGUGAUAUCGUUUCUCUCCUCUCCUCCCUUCCUCCUUCAGUUUGUUCUUCCUCUUCUUCUUUUCUCCUUGGCCAAUUCUACAUCAUGAAACAUCCUCAAUUCAUAUACAUAAUUGGAUAUGAAGAAAGCAAUAAUAUUAUUAAAUCAAACAACGCCAAGUUAUAGAGCAAUCAACUAGGAGUGGAAAUCUCAGAAGGGAAAAAAAAUUAGCCUGGUACCAAAAUCUCCAGAGUUGACAGUGACUAACCAACGGUGUUAUUUAACGCAAUUCAUAAUGACCAAU
rnacentral:lncRNA from 1 species